rnacentral:rRNA from 1 species
AUUGAACGCUGGCGGCAGGCCUAACACAUGCAAGUCGAGCGAGCGGCGGACGGGUGAGAAAUGUAUGGGGUCUCCCCGAUAGAGGGGGAUAACUACUGGAAACGGUGGCUAAUACCGCAUACUAUCGGAUAACCCAUAUGGGAUUAGCUAGUAGGUGGGGUAAAGGCUCACCUAUGCGAAGAUCUCUAGCUGGUCUGAGAGGAUGAGCAGCCACACUGGUACUGAGACACGGCCCAGACUCCUACGGAGGCAGCAGUAGGGAAUAUUGCGCAAUGGGCGCAAGCCGUAUGCAGCCAUGCCGCGUGUAUUAAGAAGGCCUUAGGGUUGUAAAGUACUUUCAGCGGGGAGGCGUUACCCGCAGAAGAAGCACCGGCUAACUCCGUGCCAGCAGCCGCGGUAAUAC